UACGGAGGGAGCUAGCGUUGUUCGGAAUUACUGGGCGUAAAGCGCGCGUAGGCGGCUUUGUAAGUUAGAGGUGAAAGCCCGGGGCUCAACCCCGGAACUGCCUUUAAAACUGCAUCGCUUGAAUCCGGGAGAGGUGAGUGGAAUUCCGAGUGUAGAGGUGAAAUUCGUAGAUAUUCGGAAGAACACCAGUGGCGAAGGCGGCUCACUGGACCGGUAUUGACGCUGAGGUGCGAAAGCGUGGGAGCAAACAGG
rnacentral:rRNA from 1 species